rnacentral:rRNA from 1 species
UGAGGAAUAUUGGUCAAUGGGCGCAAGCCUGAACCAGCCAUGCCGCGUGCAGGAUUGACUGCCCUAUGGGUUGUAAACUGCUUUUCUGCAGGAAGAAAGGUUGAGAUUCGUUCUUGAUUUGACGGUACUGCAGGAACAAGCAUCGGCUAACUCCGUGCCAGCAGCCGCGGUAAUACGGAGGAUGCAAGCGUUAUCCGGAUUCAUUGGGUUUAAAGGGUGAGCAGGCUGUGAUGUAAGUCAGUGGUGAAAGCCCGAGGCUUAACUUCGGGAUUGCCAUUGAAACUGCACCACUUGAGUAUAGUCGAGGACGGCGGAAUGAGUUAUGUAGCGGUGAAAUGCAUAGAUAUAACUCAGAACACCGAUUGCGGAGGCAGCUGUCUAGGCUAAUACUGACGCUGAGUCACGAAAGCGUGGGGAUCAAACA